rnacentral:rRNA from 1 species
UACAGAGGUCCCAAGCGUUGUUCGGAAUUACUGGGCGUAAAGGGCUCGUAGGUGGCCAACUCAGUCGGACGUGAAAUCCCUCGGCUUAACCGGGGAACUGCGUCCGAUACUGGAUGGCUUGAGAUCGGGAGAGGGAUGCGGAAUUCCAGGUGUAGCGGUGAAAUGCGUAGAUAUCUGGAGGAACACCGGUGGCGAAGGCGGCAUCCUGGACCGACACUGACACUGAGGAGCGAAAGCCAGGGGAGCAAACGGG